ACAUGGCUUCUCUUCUCUCCUGAGCUCCUGGAGGGUGGGAUGCGAGUUUGGCUUGUUCUUGUUGUGGAGAAGGUGGCAAGCCCCGGGCAUGCCCUGCUGUCUCCUGGUGGUUAUGCACACCCAGAAGGACACUAGGUGCACUCGAAUAAGUGUUGCCAGAAAUGGUCAGAUGUGAACACUUGGCGAGAGCCCGUCUCAGCUGUGAGAGGAGAGUGGAUGGCCAACUAGGAUAGGCGAAGAGGUAAUUACAGAGUACCUGAAACGUCUGUGUGCAGUGGAACCAGCAGAGCCAGAUGACUGGCAGAGCAAUGCAGCAGAAGAGAGUUGGAUGGAUACUUGGAAAACCCAGUCCCAGUCUCCUCUCAGCUCACCUUGCUUACCCAGUGGGUGACCUUGGGAAAAGAAGUCUCUGAUCCUGGCUCUUCAUAUUUGCAGAACAAAGAUGAUAUUACCUUCUUUAUAGAACUGUUCUACGGAGUAAGUGAAAUAAAUCACAAAGUACUCUUUGGACCUAGGGCAUAUUUAAUGGUUGCUGGUGUCCGUGCACAACUGACGGGCUUUGGUUUUGGGAAGUUAUGAAGGACACUUCUCUGCAAGACAGCAAACAGAGCAUCCACUUAUGCCGGUGUUUGGGAAGCUGGUGGAAGACAUCAUUGAGCAAUUAAUUAGCAAUAGUUUAAGAGAACCAAGUAGUUGGGAAGCGACCCAUAUGACUUUAAGAUCAAAUGAUGCCUUUCUAAUUUUACUACCCUCUUAAAUUGUGGGACAGCCUCCAAAUAUAAGGGAAUGACAGGUGUCAUCCUGCAUGAUGGCCAAGUCAUCAGUGCAACCUGAGUUGUUCGAAACCCCCAGUAUCAUCUAUUUGUUUUUGGCAUGGCAUGCAUGAUUACAUUCAUUAACUGGUAA